ensembl:antisense A430027H14Rik RIKEN cDNA A430027H14 gene
GCCUCACCUGCACCCAUCACCCAGCGUCCUCCUGCCACCUCUUGCUCUAGCUGUCAUGCAUGCGUCUUCCAUGCCUUCCCGAAUCCAGUCCGGGUGUCAAGAGAGACCCCAGAUCUCUACAGGCUGAUGCUAAGGAUGCUGAAUGCUGUGGGCGUGGGCAGAUUUUGUGGGGCUGGAAGACACCAGCCCUCAGGCUGAACUCGUUGGCCAGCCCCUCCCCAGCACUUGGAGAACCCCAGCUUGGGCGACUCUAUCCAGACACCUUGGCUGCACUCUUGGCGACAAGAACUGAUUUGGAACAGAAGUGGCCUAGAAAGGGCAGGAGAUUGGAUGGUGCCUUCACUCAACAUGGAAGAACUUUAAAACUGCCGGCCCUCCCUCUCCAGCUUUGCCAGCAGGAACUCCCAGCUGACCUCCACCUUCUGCCCCCAGCACCUUGCACACAGUCAGUGUUUUCCCAGGGAUCUGAAGGACGCCACAGACACAGCCUUGGCUGUAAUGUGAACCUCUUAGGUCGUUUACAAGACUCUCCAACAUCAAUGAUGGUUUUUUUUUGUACUUGUUGUUCUAUUUCUGACUCUAGAAUAGUCCCAGCACCUGUUCUGUCUGAUGAAAUAA